UUUAAUCUUUAUAAUCUUUCUUAUUAUUAGUUAGGUAGUUGUUAAGUUAGGUAUUGGGUAGGAUUUAGGAAUGUUGAAUAUGUGCUCUAUAAGUAGUAAUAAACAGCCAAUAUCCUAGUAAUAUACAUGCUAAUAAACAACUACUUAAUAGUGAGAAUUGACCCUAAAAGAAGCAGCUUCAGCAGAGCUUAGAUACGCUUAGAAGAUGAGUCUGGUAUCAAGAUGCUUAAAUUAUGAUGGUGGAGUUGGGGAUGGUCUGUGUAGGGAUGCCAAAACAGCUGAUGCCGGAGCAGGGUGAGCGGCUGCUUAUAUGCUCCAGGAGUUAAUUGAAAGAUUAGAUGGGUUCACUCCUCCCAUAAUUAUGCUUAGGAACUUCACUUAAAGCAGGGGUGUCCAAACUCGAUCCUGGAGGGCCACUGUCCUGCAGAGUUUGGCUCCAACUUGCCUCAACACACCUGCCUGGAAGUUUCUAAUAUGUCUAGUAGACCUUGAUUAGCUGGUUCUGGUGUGUUUAAUUGGGGUUGGAGCUAAACUUUGCAGGACAGUGGUCCUCCAGGAGCAGGAUUGGACACCCCUGACUUAAAGCAUCUACUGACAUUUGUCAGCGAGGGAACUGUAACAUUGGCAUGGUUACAGUUCUUGAAUCAAAUAAUAUUGUCCAUUGUUUGGCAACUAUCCGGAGAAAGAUCUUGUGCCUUCCCACAUUAAAACCUUGUGUCGUAUGGAGCAGGUGGAAUCUUCAUCAAGGUGUCUUGAAGCUUUGAUCUGUUUCAGUACAUAUCUUCAAGAUAUCUCCCACCUACACACUGAAUACGUCACUUCUGGGUCAAAUUAUAAUCACAUGAUCUUUCUUCGUUAAACUGAAUCUCAUACUUGCUGUAAAAACAAGCAAGCAAAACAAGGCUAUACCAGGAGAGAAAUUGUGUCUUAACCCACACAAGAAAAUGACUUCCUGCACCUCACUCCAUCUCUCAAAGAGAUAGAAAAAAUCAACCACCAACAACCAUCACUUUUGGGCCGAGCCACAACCUUACAAUCUUUCUGUCACAAUUAUGCUUGUUUAACCAGUUUUGGUUUCGUUGUCAAGGGCUUAUUUGCUCAUCUUUGUUUCCUGUUUCCAUUUGUUCUUAUGUUCUCGUCUGUCAAGUUACAAUGGUUAUUUAGGUAACAAUUUAUCGAUAGCAAAACUGGAAAAGUGACUGUGGCAAGAAGUGGAGUGAGCGUUAAUUUAAGGAGUGUCUCUCUCACGCUUCAUAACAGAAAGAAAGGCUAGCUUUGUGCAAUCAUUGAGUGCUCUGUAAACUUUGGUUUCUGAUAAAUCACUUCCAAGAAAAGAA